rnacentral:rRNA from 1 species
CUGGCGGCGUGCCUAAUACAUGCAAGUCGAGCGGACCAAAGGGAGCUUGCUCCUGGAGGUUAGCGGCGAACGGGUGAGUAACACGUGGGCAACCUGCCUGUAAGACUGGGAUAACAUCGAGAAAUCGGUGCUAAUACCGGAUAAUAAAAAGAACUGCAUGGUUCUUUUUUGAAAGAUGGUUUCGGCUAUCACUUACAGAUGGGCCCGCGGCGCAUUAGCUAGUUGGUGAGGUAACGGCUCACCAAGGCGACGAUGCGUAGCCGACCUGAGAGGGUGAUCGGCCACACUGGGACUGAGACACGGCCCAGACUCCUACGGGAGGCAGCAGUAGGGAAUCUUCCGCAAUGGACGAAAGUCUGACGGAGCAACGCCGCGUGAGUGAUGAAGGUUUUCGGAUCGUAAAACUCUGUUGUUAGGGAAGAACAAGUGCCGUUCGAAAGGGCGGCACCUUGACGGUACCUAACGAGAAAGCCACGGCUAACUACGUG